GACCCAAAUUUGAAGUAGAGUAGAUUAGAAGUAUCAUCUGACCCUACUAAACUACUCUACCUCAAGUUUGUGCUA
rnacentral:pre_miRNA from 1 species